AACGAACGCUGGCGGCAUGCCUAACAUAUGCAAGUCGAACGAAGCCUUCGGGCUUAGUGGCGCACGGGUGCGUAACGCGUGGGAAUCUGCCCCUUGCUUCGGAAUAACAGUUAGAAAUGACUGCUAAUACCGGAUGAAGUCUUCGGACCAAAGAUUUAUCGGCAAGGGAUGAGCCCGCGUAGGAUUAGGUAGUUGGUGGGGUAAAGGCCUACCAAGCCGACGAUCCUUAGCUGGUCUGAGAGGAUGAUCAGCCACACUGGGACUGAGACACGGCCCAGACUCCUACGGGAGGCAGCAGUGGGGAAUAUUGGACAAUGGACGCAAGUCUGAUCCAGCAAUGCCGCGUGAGUGAUGAAGGCCUUAGGGUUGUAAAGCUCUUUUACCAGGGAUGAUAAUGACAGUACCUGGAGAAUAAGCUCCGGCUAACUCCGUG
rnacentral:rRNA from 1 species